rnacentral:rRNA from 1 species
UCCUAACCACGAACAGUACUGGAGGUUAGCCGCGGAAGCUCAUUACAACAGCCAUUGUUCACUUGAUCUUGAAUAUCCUACUUGGAUAACUGUGGUAAUUCUAGAGCUAAUACAUGCAACUAUGCUCAGGUAGUCCUUCGGGGCGACGAGCGCAGUUAUUAGAACAAAACCAAUCGGGCUUCGGUCCGUCGGUUUGGUGGAUCUGAAUAACUACAGCUGAUCGCACAGUCUUCGUACUGGCGACGAAUCUUUCAAGUGUCUGCCUUAUCAGCUGUCGAUGGUAGUCUACGUGGCUACCAUGGCUGUAACGGGUAACGGAGAAUAAGGGUUCGACUCCGGAGAGGGAGCCUGAGAAACGGCUACCACAUCCAAGGAAGGCAGCAGGCGCGCAAAUUACCCACUCUCGGCAUGAGGAGGUAGUGACGAAAAAUAACGAGGUGGUUCUCUAUGAGGCCCACUAUCGGAAUGGGUACAAUUUAAACCCUUUAACGAGGACCUAUGAGAGGGCAAGUCUGGUGCCAGCAGCCGCGGUAAUUCCAGCUCUCAAGGUGUAUAUCGCCAUUGCUGCGGUUAAAAAGCUCGUAGUUGGAUCUACGGUUUUCGGAGUGGGAUCACCCAAGUGGUGUUUUCUCGCUCCAAGCCUCUAUUUGCUGGUCUACCCUUACGCCUUUAACCGGGUGCUUUGGGUGGCUAGUGAGUUUACUUUGAAAAAAUUAGAGUGCUCAAGACAGGCUUUUCGCCUGAAUAGUGGUGCAUGGAAUAAUAGAAUAGGACCUCGGUCCAUUUUAUUGGUUUUGGUCCCGAGAUAAUGGUUAAGAGGGACAGACGGGGGCAUUCGUAUCGCUGCGUGAGAGGUGAAAUUCUUGGACCGUAGCGAGACGAACUACUGCGAAAGCAUUUGCCAAGAAUGUCUUCAUUAAUCAAGAACGAAAGUCAGAGGUUCGAAGGCGAUCAGAUACCGCCCUAGUUCUGACCGUAAACGAUGCCAACCAGCGAUCCGCCAGUGGUACUCUGCCCUGGCGGGGAGCUUCCCGGAAACGAAAGUCUUCCGGUUCCGGGGGAAGUAUGGUUGCAAAGCUGAAACUUAAAGGAAUUGACGGAAGGGCACCACCAGGAGUGGAGCCUGCGGCUUAAUUUGACUCAACACGGGAAAACUCACCCGGCCCGGACACCGUAAGGAUUGACAGAUUGAGAGCUCUUUCUUGAUUCGGUGGUUGGUGGUGCAUGGCCGUUCUUAGUUGGUGGAGCGAUUUGUCUGGUUUAUUCCGAUAACGAACGAGACUCUAACCUACUAAAUAGUGACUGCAUUCUAUCGGUGCAGUGU